rnacentral:rRNA from 1 species
GGCGGACGGGUGAGUAAUGCUUGGGAAUGUGCCUUAUGGUGGGGGACAACAGUUGGAAACGACUGCUAAUACCGCAUGAUGUCCACGGACCAAAGUGGGGGACCUUCGGGCCUCACGCCAUAAGAUUAGCCCAAGUGGGAUUAGCUAGUUGGUGAGGUAAUGGCUCACCAAGGCAACGAUCCCUAGCUGGUUUGAGAGGAUGAUCAGCCACACUGGGACUGAGACACGGCCCAGACUCCUACGGGAGGCAGCAGUGGGGAAUAUUGCACAAUGGGCGCAAGCCUGAUGCAGCCAUGCCGCGUGUGUGAAGAAGGCCUUCGGGUUGUAAAGCACUUUCAGUAAGGAGGAAAGGUUAAGUGUUAAUAGCACUUAGCUGUGACGUUACUUACAGAAGAAGCACCGGCUAACUCCGUGCCAGCAGCCGCGGUAAUACGGAGGGUGCGAGCGUUAAUCGGAAUUACUGGGCGUAAAGCGUAC